rnacentral:rRNA from 1 species
UGAGAGGGAGAUCCCCCACACUGGUCAUGACACGCGACACAGCAUCCCUCAGGGAGGCGAGCAAGUGAGGAAUAUUGGACAAUGGAGGCAACUCUGAUCCAGCCAUGCCGNGUGCAGGAAGACUGCCCUAUGGGUUGUAAACGUGCUUUUAUACAGGAAGAAUGGUACCUACGUGUAGGUAUUUGACGGUACUGUACG